GAUGAACGCUGGCGGCGUGCCUAAUACAUGCAAGUCGAGCGAACGGACGAGAAGCUUGCUUCUCUGAUGUUAGCGGCGGACGGGUGAGUAACACGUGGAUAACCUACCUAUAAGACUGGGAUAACUUCGGGAAACCGUAGUUAAUACCGGAUAAUAUUUUGAACCGCAUGGUUCAAAAGUGAAAGACGGUCUUGCUGUCACUUAUAGAUGGAUCCGCGCUGCAUUAGCUAGUUGGUAAGGUAACGGCUUACCAAGGCAACGAUGCAUAGCCGACCUGAGAGGGUGAUCGGCCACACUGGAACUGAGACACGGUCCAGACUCCUACGGGAGGCAGCAGUAGGGAAUCUUCCGCAAUGGGCGAAAGCCUGACGGAGCAACGCCGCGUGAGUGAUGAAGGUCUUCGGAUCGUAAAACUCUGUUAUUAGGGAAGAACAUAUGUGUAAGUAACUGUGCACAUCUUGACGGUACCUAAUCAGAAAGCCACGGCUAACUACGUG
rnacentral:rRNA from 1 species